UCCUUUGCCAUGCCGCUGCAAGGUCAUAAAGUAGAUAAAACUUAAGUUGCAAUUCCGGUUUUCCUCAAGAUCUGAGACAUGUUAAUUGUCUUUGUUUCUCGCUCUGGUAACAUCUUCCCGCUGCACAUAUUUCCCGCCUUAAAGAGUUUAAAAGGUGAUCAAAAAAUCUAACACUGGCCACCCGCUCGGGACACCUUCCACGCUGUGGAAGCUUUGUACUGUCAUUCUGCUCAGUAAAGCCUACAGCCUUUUUUCUCUCGGUCGGGUCCACGUCUCUCUCUCUUGCCGCGGGCUGCCGCCACCCCAACCCUUUGGCGUGGCUAAGGCAACAACCUUUGGUGUUACCCUGGUUUGCAAAGAGGAAUGCCCUCUCCAAACAUGCCUAUCGAAUAAGGUCCUGUUCAUGAUGCAAAUCUCUAUGUGAUCUUCCUCCGGAAUUCUUGAGCCCAUUCCUGGAACUGUGUGAUAACUUGCCCAGAAAAUCUUCUUGUGGAAUCUGUCUUUACAUGGAAAAGACUUGGCAAUAUUUGUACAGCAACUGGAAGAAAGGUCUUUGCUGAGAUAUACAAAGAGGCAGAAUGUGUGUGGAUCACCGAUUAGACAAGGCGAAUAGGAGCAGAAUAGAAGAGGAAUGGAAUAGAACUCAAGGGUGAGCCAGCUUCGGGAUUGCAACUGAGAAGUGGGACUAUUAAAAGAAAGUCAUGCCCAGGUGGCUCACCAAGCUGGAGAAGGGACAAGAGACCUCUGGAGCUUCGCCUUUAUAGCUGAUUGCUUUUUGAAUCCCAGCCAUCCCAGCCUCCACAGUCUGAAGCAGAAACAUCUCAUCCAAACUGCAUUUGUGUGAGCAAGAAAUAAAUGCAGACAGUUAUAUGCCAAGGAGAUUUUAUAGUUGCUUGUUAUGUAAUAACAAUGACUAAUAGAGAAAUGAUUGAAGAGUACUGAAUCACAACAUUACUAGCUCAACCUGCUCCCCAGAAAAUUGCUAAUAAAGACAAUAAUAACAAGAAUUCCCUCUUAUUAAUGCCUAUCAAAUGCCAGCAAUAACUAGAUGCUUUGCACAUUGUAAUCUCAUUUUAUCCUAGGAAGACAACAACUCUGUGAAGUUGGUGAUCUUAUCCCUAUUUCA
rnacentral:lncRNA from 1 species